rnacentral:lncRNA from 1 species
GGAUGAUGUCAUCAUGUCUUCAACAUCUGGAAAACUCCAAUGCACACAUGUGAGAGUAUGCCAGAGAGAGAGACCUACCUGAAACCGGCCUGGGCAGCUGGAGAAGAAUGAGGGUGAGCAGACAUCUGGGCAAGCCGGAGUUUGGGAAAACUGCCAUCUUCGACCUUCCUGGAGCAGCAAGAUACUGGUGUGAGUCUGUCAGGAGCUUCAGCCUAGCUGAUGAAUGGACAGGAGAGAGCGAUGGGCUCUACAGACCCGCUCAGCAGUUCUUUCCAACUUGGAGUGCUCUGGUCAUUUGCAUCUGAAUCCUGCUGUGUCUUCUCUCCAGUGGAGAUUUUCAAACGAGGCUGCCAUCAGCACCCACUCACCACCCUAAGUUUGAAUAUGGACUUUGGAGCUGGGCAGCCCUUUUGUGACCAUGAGGCAACAUUGAAGAUGCAAGCCACAUGCUAAGACAGAAGAAAAUAAAGACAGAACUAAGCUGGGGCAUGUAUGACAUUUCAAGCUCUCAGAUCAGCCCUUGAUGGCCACCAUCCAUAUUUAUUGACAUGAAAAGAAGUCCUCAUUUUGUCAAAGCCAAUGAUAUUCAGGACUGUUAUUAAUAACAAAAUACAAUUCUUCCCUCUACCCACUACAGUGUAUCAUGAAACUCUUCAAACAUAUAGGAAAGUUGAGUAUAGAAUCUCUAUCUCCAGCCUUGAGGUCUCACCUGGACUCUUGGUUAUUCAAUGGACUACUCUGCAUCUCCAUGUGCAUCUCUAAUAGACUCCUCAACCUUAAUGUAUCCACAACUGAACCUUUGGUUCUGCACCACUCCCGUCUUGCUCCUUGUCUCUCCGUUUCCCCAUCUCAGAAAUUAACAACUUAAUCUUUCCAGUUACUUUUCCUUCUUUCCUUCCUUCUUCCCUUCCUUCCUUCUCUCUCUUUUCUUUUUUGAGAGUCUCACUCUGCCACUCAGGCUAGAGUGCAGUGGUGCACUGCAACCUCCACCUCCUGGGUUUUAGUACAGACAGGGUUUUACCAUGUUGGCCAGGCUGGUCUCGAACUCCUCACCUUAAGUGAUCCACCUGCCUUGGCCUCCCAAAGUGCUGGGAUGACGGGCAUGAGCCACCGCGCCCAGCCCAUCUUUCCAGUUUCUUGGGACUAAAACCAAAGAUCUACUUUUCUCCUUUGCCAUAUGAGGACACAUUUAAAAGGC